rnacentral:misc_RNA from 1 species
UCCGGUUUGACACCGGCAGUCUCCCUAGAGUGCCCGGCAUAACCCGCUGGUAACUAGGGACGAGGGUUGCGCUCGUUGCGGGACUUAACCCAACAUCUCACGACGCGAGCUGACGACAGCCAUGCAGCACCUGUGCAUGGACUCCGAAGAGGAACCAAUGUUUCCACCGGCUUUCCCAUGUCAAGCCCAGGUAAGGUUCUUCGCGUUGCUUCGAAUUAAACCACGUGCUCCACCGCUUGUGCGGGUCCCCGUCAAUUCCUUUGAGUUUCAGUCUUGCGACCGUACUCCCCAGGCGGGAUGCUAAAAGCGUUAGCGACGGCACCCGGAGACUAAAUACUCCAGACACCAAGCAUCCAUCGUUUAAGGCUAGGACUAC